ensembl:misc_RNA Metazoa_SRP Metazoan signal recognition particle RNA
GCCGGGCGUGGUGGCUCAUGCCUGUAAUCCCAGCACUCUGGGAGGCCGAGGUGGGUGGAUCACCUGAGGUCAGGAGUUCGAGAGCAGCCUGGCUAACACGGUGAAACCCCACCUCUA